GCUCGGCGAAUUCCGACUGGCAUUAGAUUUCGGUCUCCCGUCCCAGCUCCUCGGAUGCUCGGCGUCGGUCUUUCCAAGGCGGUUCUCGCCAUCGUGAGCCUCUUACGAGCUUCUGGCUAGUAUUCAGUGGUAUGCUAUUCACUCAUUUUUUGUACUUCUCCUCCUUGUUGUGGUUGCUGCUUCUGCUAUAUGUUAUUUUCUUGGUUAGAUGUCAUCACUUGGCUUCAGAGGAUCUGUUCGGCUUCAAGAAUUUUAGAUUGAAAGAACUAGGCCUUUAGUUUGAAGCCUGAAGUCGAGUUAUGUUUCAACUGGCGUGUGGAAGAAAGGGGCUGUGGCUUUAAUCUGAUGGAAUCUUUAGGAAUCUGUGAGGAGAACAGGGGCUGGACACCCUGUACUGUUGGCUUGCAAUUAUAAGAUUUUGGUGUCUUCUAAAUUGGAUAUAAGUUGGGUUACAAGGGAGCCGGAAUCAUUAAUGAAAUAUCUUUUUUAGCCGUUUGACAAGUUACCUACUUUUGUACAAAAUCUGGGGGCGUUUUGAUUCUCCUUCUCUUGCAACGCCUUCUCUCGGACCAUGAAGAAAUCUUUUCUUGUUGAACAAAUUAACCACUCAAUGCAAGGAAUUUUGACAGAUGGUACAAAGAAUUCAUCAUUUUAGUUCUGCUGCAGAGAAUCAAUUUUGUUGCAUUUUAAGGUCAAUGGAAAAUAAUCAUUUCUCAUGGUAUCUUGAUAUACAUUUUAAUCAUUUAGCUUUUCAUAUAACUAAUCUGUCCUUCAAGUUUAUCAUCUCUCCCUCACUCUUUCUUUUUAAUUUUUCAUCUUUCUCAUUGUUCUUUAUUCCACAAUCUUUUGAUACCAGGACAUCUACAACCAUGUCCAGAUUUUUGAUAGUUUAUUUCUUCACUUGGAUUAUAAAAUAGUUGGUUGCUUGGAGGUGUGCAUUAUCCAUGAUACAGGACAGGGAAUUAGCAGCGAUGAAGAUGGAAGCGAUAGGGAUGAAGACGCUGAUUCAAGGGGUUGAUCAUGAUGGAAACCCAACCAUGGAGUGCUGGAUUAAGAGUCCUUUUUGCAUUUGAGUUCUGGUUUAGCCAAGUCAAAAGUCCUUCUAAUAUUUUGUUCCUAAAUUAAGUCAGGAUUAGCAUCUUUGUUUGAUUAAGUUUCUGAGUUACGAGUCCUUGUUGGUUUAGCCUUAAGAUUUAGUUUUUCUUUGAGUUCGUUUGCGAUGAGUUACGGUGUGUGCGAUCCUAUAUAAGGAAUCGCAAGGAGGGCUCGUUCCUUCUUCUGCUUGGUCUUUGUUUUUUCAGCCAUCAAUGAAUGAAAAUUAUGCUNNNNNNNNNNNNNNNNNNNNNNNNNNNCAUGCUCUGUUUCUGGUUCAGCAAACAGAGUUUUACUUGAUUUUUGCAGUGUCUAUUUGGUUCUGAGUUUCCCUCAGACCCAGCAGCAUUGUGAACUCCUUUUCUCCACGCUCCAGCCGCAUCAUUUGGUAUCAGAGCGAGGAUUUCCCUGGUUUGAUGGCAAAUGAUAGUGUGGCAAGUGUGCAUCCCAGCGACGGCAAACCUAGAGUGCCCGCUGGGCACCUAUUCGUGGCUUGCAAGGAGUCGUCCGUGACAUCCAACAGGUGCUCCAAGGCAUGCAAAUCGACCCCAACCGGGAGCGCGUGCAGGCUCAUGAGGAUCUCCAUCACGGUCCACCGGCACCGACGUGAGAUCCACCUCACCGGCGUCGCCAACAAGUUCCUCCGGAGUCUUCCAACGAGGAAGAAGAUGACGCGGUCUGUGGGGCAUUUGGUGGACUGCGUCUACACCUAGGUGAAUACGAAUUUGAUGGGAGCGACCGAAUCAGAAGAGCCUUCGAUUGUCGCUUUCCAGAUGGAGGAGCGGCUGACGAAGGAUUUAGCGGGCUACGUCCAUGGAGGAACAGGCCGGAGGCGUUUGACUGCAGGCUUCACGUUGGAGGUGCGGCCUUUGACCGCCGAAUCCCUGUUGAAGAGGGCAUUUUCGAGGAAGCCAACGAGUUACGUGCAUGGAGAGGAGACCCUACAGGCUAUAGGCAUGAAGGGUGCCAAUUUCCAGAGGGAGGAGUGCCCGACGAAGUUCUCGGUGGGUUGCGACCACAGCGGAACAGGGACCAUGCGGGCUUCAGGUGGAACGCAGAACCUGUAGCGUACGGGGUCAAUUGGGGCGCUCGGAACAAGGGCUUCCCUGAUUUCAGACUGAAGGUGGAUCUUCCUACCUUCAGUAGCAAUCUUCACAUUGAGGGAAUUUUGGAUUGGUUGGCCAAAGUAGAAAAAUUCUUCGAUUACAUGGAGAUCCCGGAUCAAAAGAAAGUGAAGUUGGUCACGUACAAAUUGAGAGGUGGAGCAACUGAAUGGUGGGAUCAAUUGCAAUAUAACCGUCUACAGCAAGGGAAGAUGCAGAUCACCACUUGGCGUAAGAUGAAGCAACAUCUAUGCGGCCGUUUCCUCCCGCCUGACUACAAGCAGGCACUCUACCAUUAGUACCAGAAUUUCCGAUAGAGCCCCCGGAUGGUGACCUAUGAAUUCAACCGUCUCAAUGCCUGCAACAACCUGUCGGAAACAGAAAAUCAGCAAGUGGCGAAGUACAUCGGUGGAUUGAAGCCGACAAUUCGAGAUCAUGUGGAUUUAUUUCCGGUGUGGAGCCAGUUGGAAGCCACAAAUUUGGCCCUAAAGCUCGAGGCACAAGCAGCAUGGAAGGCAAACCAGCCCACAAAUCGACAGUUUUCUCGAACUCCCCCAUAGCAAAGCAGAAGGCCGUUGAUGUGGCUGGCACUUCGGGCCAACCGCCACCAAUGUCCACAACCAGAAGAAAUGAAAAUUUCAGCAAAUAGUCGACGGCCCCAAAAGGUAAUAAAAAUCCCCUAUGAAAAGCCAAUGCCUAUAAAAUGUUACAGGUGUUAGGAGGUUGGGCAUCAGUCCAACGAAUGUCCGAAGAGGCGAUCAGUCAACGUGGUCGAAGCUGUGGAAGAAGAAGGGGUGCCUUUUGAGGAGGAAGAACAAGAGGAGGCGCCGACCGACGGCGACAACAUCGUGGUGACAAUGCUUGAUCAGGGGCCUCCAGCUUCUUUCGUGGUUCAAUAUAUCCUGUUUGUCCUAAAGAGUGAAGAAGAGUCGCUACGCCACAAUAUCUUCAAGAUCCGUUGUACCGUCAACAAAAUUGUGUGUAAUGUGAUUAUUGACAGCGGCAGCAACGAGAAUAUUGUUUCUUCCGCAUUGGUUCAUGCGAUGGGAUUGAAGACAGAGAGGCAUCCAUCUCCCUACAAGAUUGGUUGGAUUAAAAAAGGGACGAAAAGGAGAGUGGACAAGAUUUGUAGAGUGCCACUAUCGAUCGGGCAAUACUACAGGGAUGAGGUUUUGUGUGAUGUGGCCGAAAUGGACGCAUACCAUAUUCUACUUGGGCGUCCCUAGCAGCAUGAUACGGAUGUUACAUAUGGGGGUCGAGAUAAUACUUAUUUGUUUCAUUGGCAGGGUAAGACGAUCCUACUAGUGCCAGGUAAUGAAAGCACUACUCCCAAAGCUUCUAAAGUGGAGGGAAAGUCUUUUCUCAUUGUGCCAGAGAAGAUAGAUGAAUUGAUCGAGAAGCAGCUAUAUCCAAACAUUAACUCGAGAAUGAGUUGUUUUCAAGUGGAGGGGACUGAUGCAGGAUAGAGAAUAAGCAGUGAUGAAGAUGGAAGUGAUAGGGAUGAAGAUGCUGAUCCAGGAGGUUGAUCAUGAUGGAAACCCAACCAUGGAGUGCUGGAUUAAGAGUCCUUUUUGCAUUUGAGUUUUGGUUUAGCCAAGUCAAGAGUCCUUCUUAUAUUUUGUUCCUAAAUUAAGUCAGGAUUAGCAUCUUUGUUUGAUUAAGUUUCUGAGUUACGAGUCCUUGUUGGUUUAGCCUUAAGAGUUAGUUUUUCUUUGAGUUGUUUGCGAUGAGUUACAGUGUGUGCGAUCCUAUAUAAGGAAUCGCAAGGAGGGCUUGUUCCUUCUUCUGCUUGGUCUUUGUUUUUUCAGCCGUCAAUGAAUGAAAAUUAUGCUUGAGAGUUGCAGCGUUAAUCUCCUACUUCAUGCUCGGUUUCUGGUUCAGCAAACAGAGUUUUACUUGAUUUUUGCAGUGCCUAUUUGGUUCUGAGUUUCCCUCAGACCCAGCAGCAUUGUGAACUCCUUUAUAUUCUCCACGCUCCAGCCGCAUCAAUCCAUAAUCAAGUUUCGAUCUUGAAGCUUUAAGUAUCUGCGGGAUGUCGUGAAUAAACAGAUGGGCUUGAAAAAUCUAAUCCUGUUUGCACCAUUAUGAAAUUAGAGAAACUCCAAGUGCGCUUUGCAGGAGUGUUUGACAAGAGGAAAAAGAUAAGAGAACCAUAUUUUGAACUUGUUGCACUGAGAGGCUCAUUGCGAUUGAAUUGUAUUUGAGACAACCUGAUCUUUUUCUUAAUAUUCCCUAUCUUGAGAUAUUUUGUUCUGGAUAAAGUAAUUAAAAGGUAUUCUUUUAUUUAUUUAUGUUUAAAUAUUUUUUGCAUAUUGUGAAUGUUGCUUUAUAUUAUUGGGGGUAAAUUUCCAUGUAUUUGGUAGAUGCUGUCGACAUACUUGACAUUAAGGACAGGAGUUGGUGUAACUAUGGGGCAUAUCAUUGAUUAAUUCUCUUUUCUUUUCUUUUCUUUUCUUUUAUUUAAGAAUAAUGCUUUCACCACAACCUUUCUAAGUCUAACCGGAAAAGUAUACUCAGCUCCAGCAACAUGGAGAGAGGUGCCAACUGGUAGACUGGAGAUCCUUUGCACAUAAUCAUUUAUCUGUCAUGAUCUACUCUCUCUCUCUCUCUCUCUCUGACUUCUUGCAUGACAACUUUAUAAGCUUUUGUAAUGCAACUUAAACUCUCACUACAGGAAAAUAGGGUUAUAGCAAUGGCUUUUAUAGUGGCAAAAACAAUUUCCUCUAGAAAAUCAUGCAGACCUAUAGCGGCAAAAGAUGUGGCUACUUAAACUCAUUCUAUUUAACAGAAGCACUUUUUUUGUGUGGAGUCAUAGUACAUAUAUUGCUGCUAAAAAUUCAACUAUGGUGGCUCACAAGCCUACUCUUUUUUCUUUUUGGGCUGCUAAUCUGUCAUGAUAAUUAUUUAGUGUCUAUUUUAUGACUUUCAGCAUAACUUUUAUGUUGCUGAAAGCCUAUAUUAUUAUAGUGUUUAGGAAUUCAACUUUUUUACAUUUAUUUAUUUAAUCCAGCCAUGUGUAUCCUACUUCUUCAAGAUCGGUGUGUUUGUAUCGUGUACGUGUAUAUAUCCUAUGUCCUUGCUUCAUUGUUUAUGACAAUCUAUGCCAUGAAUACCAACAUCUUUCUACCAAAAAUGUUACAAAAUACAAAAGUACUGUGUAUACACUGAUUAACCUGAUCAUUGCUCUCAUGCCUUUGGUGCCAAUUAUCACGCAUGGAAGAAAUGACCUUUAAAGCUUUACCAUGUGAGAGCUACUCGGUGAUCGUCUCUUAUCAAAAGAAAAGUCAAUAGAAAGAUAACUAGCUCCUUGGUUGGACUCAAUGUCAUGCGGCUGUUUCUGCUCUGUUGUAUCACCAAAUACUUGCAUCUCUCUUCCUCCAUCUACUUGUCCUUGUUGCAUGUGGUGGAACGAAGCUCCACUGAUUGUGUGGUGGGAUAGUGAUGGUGUCCCUUCUAGAUCAAACUGUUCAUCAUAUAUAGUAGAUCGCCUCGGGGAAGCUUGGAGGCUGUCCACCUCACUCCUAUAGUGUCGUAAGAGGUGUACUGGUGAUAAGCCAUGGGUUGGGGUUGCUGGCCUACUUGUAGACAAAGGUGUCACACUGCUAGACCGUCGGCUCUCUUUCAAGUGCUUUCUUGCUGUAUCAUGCCAUUUCCUUAGAGCAGUUGCCACUCUCUCACUGAAGAUGGUAGGCUUCAUGUUGGACCCCAUCUGUACGUAAGGAGACACCAUAUAGGAUAAGUAAUUGUUGAUCAGUUGAAGGUUCUUCUAUGUUCUUUAAGUAUGGAAAUGUACCUGCGUUACCAGUGCAUAGAGAGGUAGUGUGACAUAGCUACAUAAUACCUGUAUGAGGACACUGAUAAAACAAUGAGAGUUAGAGUUGUAGAGCUGCUAAUUUGUUGAUUAACUAAUGAUGAGGUUAUAAAAAAUCACCUGACCUCUCUCAGAAGAGAAAAAGAAGGAAAGAUAAAAUCUAUCAUUUGGACAAUUGUAAUGGAAAUUGAUAUAUGAUCUAUUUUGUUGGGUAUAUGUUAACCUAAUAUGCUGUAUUUUUUCCUAUAUGAAAGUUAGAAUGAAGAAUUUACAGGAUGAAAAAUUUUGUUUCUUUAUCUGAAAACAGAAAGAGUAUGAUGAGAAAACCAUUUUGCCAUUCACCAUAAGAAAUUCAGCAAAAGCCUUUCGAUGUGUGAGUGGCUUUUUCAUUAGACUUUACUGCUUUACUCUUGUACAAUUACUUCUAGAGAAAUCUUUAGUAAAUAAUUGAAUUGCGCAAAUUGAUCAGCUAGUUCACUCACAUAUUCUAAAAAUUAUGCAUAACUGUGUUGCUUUAAUAACUCUAUAAAGCUAUCAGAAAUAGAGUAGGAAGACUAACCCCAUGGAGAUUCUGAUGAUGAUGUCUUCUAUAUUCUUGUGGAAGCAUGAAGGGAGGCCAAAUUCGGACUGCAAAUGGUUUACAUCGGAAUGAGCUCUUCUUCUUUAUAGUGUUGUAAAGCUUGUGUGAAAUUUUAAUUUGUUAUUUAGAGGUAUAAAAAGGGAUUGUUUGAAUUUCUAUAUGCAUAGGCAUGCAUGUCUGUGUGUGUAGAGAGAGAGAGAGAGAGAGAGAGAGAGAGUAGNNNNNNNNNNNNNNNNNNNNNNNNNNNNNNNNNNNNUCAUUGUCUUACCCAGCUCCAAGCAAAAAACGCAAGUUGAAAUGCAUUCUGCAAGAAAAACAUGCAAACACUGUUGAUUACAUGCUACAAUUCCUGCUGACUAGUGGAAAUGUUUGAUUAAGGUACAUCAUCUCUUGGAGGUUUCGAUUAUUGGACGUAAGAAAGAAAGGAGCACUGCAUCUUUUAAGUUGCAAUUUGAGAAAAAUUACCUGAAAAAGGACAAAAUGUAUGAGAUGGAGUAGGAGGCCAGGACGGUUGAACCAGAAGAGAUCAUCUGUGGGCUGGACGACAGGGAUACCCUUCACGACAUCUCCACGCUCCAUAAUACGUAUAGCCAUCUUUGUUAUUAUCACCUGAAGUUUUGUUCCCACUAGGAGAAUUAUCUGCAAAUAUUCUUACUCUCUUAGCUACUUUCUCUUUGACAGAUAACAAGAUUAAGCCAGUUAGCUUCAACUGUUUUGUUACUGACUAACAAUCAGAGUAAGAUUAUAGAUGUGGUCUGAUCUUUGUUAUUUUACAUGGAGCACUCGGUGCUUAAAUCUUUAGAAGAAGACUAAGAUUCGAGCCAUAAAGAAUGGAUUAUUAAAAAACCAAUUUACAAUAAACAAGUAAUGAACUGUGAUCUCAGGAUCUUAAUUGUUCAUGGGUUUGAGACAACUUUUUUUUCCCCUUUCCCUUUGACCUUUUCUAUGCAACAACUAGAAUAAGAAUUCAAACAUUCACUGGUUUUAUAAAAUACAGCGGAUGUGUUUCUAAACUAAAAGAAGUUAACUUUACAAAAAAUAUGGUCACAUGAACUUACAAUCAAAGGGAUGAAUGGUAGCCACAAAUAGGAGUGCCAGUCUGCCCAACAAAAAUAUGCAUUUAAUAUCUCCAAAGCAUAUGCUAAUAUUAGGAAGAGGUAGUGGCAUAAUUUGCAUACCGUGAGUGUUGAGUAGCAGAAAUAUUACUGCAGAGAACCAUAUUGUUGGGCUGGAAAUUUUAGAAAAUAAGUCAUUAGUAGAACAAGGGAGAGAUUCUCUUAAGAAUGGUCUUAAAAUAAUAUUUGCAGAUUAAAUUUUAAAGUUGUUUAUGUAUUGAAUUUGAUUGUUAUAAGAGAAAAUCAAAGAUACCAAAUUAAUAGGGGACAUGUCCUAGGCAAAUCCCAUUUUGUAGCAUGUUUUAGAAGAAACGCUAGUUAAAUCAUUAUAACAAUGCUUAUAUGUUACCACACAUGUUAUUGUCCAUUCUAGGCAAUCAGUUAACAUAAUGUACGCAGGGAUCUUAGAGGCAUUUUGAGAGAUAAUGUAUCUAGGGUUUAUCAUGUGAGAAUGUAAGUGUUUAUUCUGGCCUUAGGGUGUCCAGUUCAUGUGUCUUCUUCUGUUGUAGGUCUAGGAAGCAGUUCUACUAUGAACCAGGUUACUAAAACCUUAAAUAAUAGCAUCCUUGCGUAUAUAAAUGAUCAGUAUACCUUAUCCCAACAACAACUUUGAAAUCUUCUUCAAGUGAUCUCUUAAUAUAUUUCUGAAAGUUAAACUUUGUCGAGCUUUGGGGAGCCAAAUGAGCCUGAAAGUAUGCAAGUUUUCAGCUCAGUGAUCAAAUAUAUUUCUUUGUAGUUAAUAAGGAAUCUAACAAUUACUUACCAUUAUGAAGCCAUGUCGUAGCGUCAAGUAGUCAACUUUAGGAACUGAUCUCAGAAACUGUCUGAAGAAGCAUACCUGCUCAGAAAAAAAAAUUAUCCUUGUUUGACAAAAUGGAAAUAAAAAACUCUUUAAUUUUCAGUGGUUCCUUGGCUAGCUAUUUCUCAUAAUUAUGAUAUUGUAAGUGUGAAUUCAAUAAGACAACAAUACGCUGAUUUCUGAAGAAAUGAUCCUUACAAUCCAAAUGAGAAUGGGCGAUUUGCUCCAGAAGUCUAAAUGCCGACGGCCGAAAGAUGUAUCUCUUGCAAAUCUAAACCUGUCAGGAUCUACCAAACCAUUUCCACAACAAUAUUGCACUCAUCAAUACAUUGGUGCCCACAUAAUAUGCAUGCUUUUGAUUGAUUAGCUGAUUCAUAUUUGAACUUACCAUGUGAAAAUUGAUAUUCAAUUGUUUUAGUUUCCAAUUCCCAGCCUUUCCAGCGUCUCAUCUGUUUCAUAGGCACCCCGUAAACAUUAACUAUUGCAUUCCCUUCUGCCAGAAAUAUAUGACUUGAAGUAAUUAUUGUAACAAUAUAUUAAACAUCUCCUUGCCUUUAGUCUGCCUAAAGCCAUUGUAAUUAUGCAGUAGAGUACAUGGGAGACGGCCAAGACGAAGAUAAACAUGUGGAGCUGGUGGAUACCCUUGGAGGAAAUGAAUGGAACUUUAUCCUGCAAAUUUG
rnacentral:lncRNA from 1 species